rfam:Paraphaeosphaeria sporulosa strain AP3s5-JAC2a unplaced genomic scaffold CC84scaffold_2, whole genome shotgun sequence.
ACAUACGACCACAGGAUCCUGAGAACUAGGCUUCCCGUCCGCUCAGCCAUAUAUAAGCAGGAUACCGGCGGAUUAGUAUUGCGAUCCGUGAGGGCGCGAGAAUCCCCGCUGUUGUAUGUU